rnacentral:rRNA from 1 species
AUUGAACGCUGGCGGCAGGCCUAACACAUGCAAGUCGAGCGGAUGAGAGGAGCUUGCUCCUUGAUUCAGCGGCGGACGGGUGAGUAAUGCCUAGGAAUCUGCCUGGUAGUGGGGGACAACGUUUCGAAAGGAACGCUAAUACCGCAUACGUCCUACGGGAGAAAGCAGGGGACCUUCGGGCCUUGCGCUAUCAGAUGAGCCUAGGUCGGAUUAGCUAGUAGGUGGGGUAAUGGCCCACCUAGGCGACGAUCCGUAACUGGUCUGAGAGGAUGAUCAGUCACACUGGAACUGAGACACGGUCCAGACUCCUACGGGAGGCAGUAGUGGGGAAUAUUGGACAAUGGGCGAAAGCCUGAUCCAGCCAUGCCGCGUGUGUGAAGAAGGUCUUCGGAUUGUAAAGCACUUUAAGUUGGGAGGAAGGGCAGUUAGUUAAUACCUGACUGUUUUGACGUUACCAACAGAAUAAGCACCGGCUAACUUCGUGCCAGCAGCCGCAGUAA